rnacentral:piRNA from 2 species
UGGGAUGCACCAGUUUUACAAAGCUGCUC